CCCAGACUCCUACGGGAGGCAGCAGUGGGGAAUAUUGCACAAUGGGGGAAACCCUGAUGCAGCGACGCCGCGUGAGCGAUGAAGUAUUUCGGUAUGUAAAGCUCUAUCAGCAGGGAAGAAAAUGACGGUACCUGACUAAGAAGCCCCGGCUAACUACGUGCCAGCAGCCGCGGUAAUACGUAGGGGGCAAGCGUUAUCCGGAUUCACUGGGUGUAAAGGGAGCGUAGACGGCGACGCAAGUCUGGAGUGAAAGCCCGGGGCCCAACCCCGGGACUGCUCUGGAAACUGCGGCGCUGGAGUACGGGAGGGGCAGGCGGAAUUCCUGGUGUAGCGGUGAAAUGCGUAGAUAUCAGGAGGAACACCGGCGGCGAAGGCGGCCUGCUGGACCGUGACUGACGUUGAGGCUCGAGAGCGUGGGGAGCAAACAGGAUUAGAUACCCUCGUAUGA
rnacentral:rRNA from 1 species